UACGUAGGUGGUAAGCGUUAUCCGGAUUUAUUGGGCGUAAAGGGAACGCAGGCGGUCUUUUAAGUCUGAUGUGAAAGCCUUCGGCUUAACCGGAGUAGUGCAUUGGAAACUGGGAGACUUGAGUGCAGAAGAGGAGAGUGGAACUCCAUGUGUGGCGGUGAAAUGCGUAGAUAUAUGGAAGAACACCAGUGGCGAAAGCGGCUCUCUGGUCUGUAACUGACGCUGAGGUUCGAAAGCGUGGGUAGCAAACAGG
rnacentral:rRNA from 1 species